rnacentral:rRNA from 1 species
CCAAGGGUUGGGCUGUUCGCCCAUUAAAGCGGUACGCGAGCUGGGUUUAGAACGUCGUGAGACAGUUCGGUCCCUAUCCGCUGUGCGCGUAGGAAUAUUGAGAAGGGCUGUCCCUAGUACGAGAGGACCGGGACGGACGAACCUCUGGUGUGCCAGUUGUCCUGCCAAGGGCAUGGCUGGUUGGCUACGUUCGGGAGGGAUAACCGCUGAAAGCAUCUAAGCGGGAAGCCUGCUUCAAGAUGAGUAUUCCCACCUCCUUGAGAGGGUAAGGCUCCCAGUAGACGACUGGGUUGAUAGGCCAGAUGUGGAAGCCCGGUAACGGGUGGAGCUGACUGGUACUAAUAGGCCGAGGGCUUGUCCUCAGUUG